AAUAAAUUUUCGUCGAGACAAAAUGUAAUUUCGUCCACAAAAUUUAUUUCGUACACACGAAAUGAAUUUUGAUCUAACGAAAUGGCACCCCAAGUGUUCAAAGGAAAAUUCUGUAGGAAAAUUUGUGUUUCACUCCAACGAAAUUCAUUUCGUCAUGAUGCAGUGUGAUUUCGUAUACGAAAUUUAUUUUGUGUCACACUUAUAAUCAAUUUCGUCGAGACGAAAUAAAAUUGCGUCCUCAAAAUUCAUUUCGUUGCGAUGCGAAUAUCUAUUCCGUCGAUGAAAUGAUUUUGUGUCACAUCACAAAAAAUUCUGUCCAUGUAAAAUAAUUCUGUCUCCUCUUUCUGGCAGGGUAUAUGAGAUCGUCGCUGAUUGGCUGCACCUUGCUCAAGCCGAUCUUCGAUCGAUCGAUAUCCGGCCGCGGGACGGUCACACUCACAGGUCGGCGUGUUGGUGAACCUUUCUUGUUUAGCUUAGAUUUCACGUUAUUCAUGCCAACAAGAGCUGCAAACAACUUCUCUAAUUAGUAGAAUGUGGACGGACAUUGCAUUCAUUCCCAUUCAGCCAUUGGACUGAACCGGUACCAAGACCGGAACUGUAACACAGUAAGGAUGGUCAAUAUGAAGCGAGCUUCAUUGAAUUCCUCCAAGAGCUCUGUACUCUGUUCUGAUCAUUUUGAAGAUGCUUGCUUUGACCUGGGCAGACGAUACGUCUUAAACAGGAUGCUGUCCCAACCAUAUUUGAUUUCCCGCCUCGUCUUCAGAAGGUACAGUGGAUCUAUAUCAUACAUGCGUUCUAAAGAAAUAUAUAUUCUGUUUUAUCUACCUUUGUUUUGAUAGAACAUUGCUUUAAUUAUUCAAUUUUCAGUAGCAAAAUAGAGAUGAAAAUUAUCCUAAUCAGGAGGAUAACCAUGGACCGGGGCCUAUACUGUGUAUUUACAGUAAACUACUAAAUAAAUAUAUUUUUUAAAAUUUGGUUUAACUCAUAAUCCUGGGCUACUUUGAGAUUGCAUAGCCCAGGGAGGGGGAGGUGGGCUUUUUUGGUCCCCCUCUUCAGAUCUUGCCUCUGAUCAAAACGAAAACCAAUGCACACAUCAACAUCAAUGUAAUCUGCAAGCAUGGAACUAAAGGUUACAGAAUUCAUUAAAAUUUAUUGUUAAUAAAUUAUUUAUUGUUAAUAAAUUAGUAAUGCUAAUUUAUGCGUAAUAGAGAAUUCUUUGUUUUAAAGGUUAAUCUCUAAAGAAUUCCCGAAAUUCUAUGAUUUCUAACAAAGUUGCUCAAAAAUAAAUGGUAAAUGACAUUUC
rnacentral:misc_RNA from 1 species